AAAUUGAAGAGUUUGAUCAUGGCUCAGAUUGAACGCUGGCGGCAGGCCUAACACAUGCAAGUCGAACGGUAACAGGAAGCAGCUUGCUGCUUUGCUGACGAGUGGCGGACGGGUGAGUAAUGUCUGGGAAACUGCCUGAUGGAGGGGGAUAACUACUGGAAACGGUAGCUAAUACCGCAUAACGUCGCAAGACCAAAGAGGGGGACCUUCGGGCCUCUUGCCAUCAGAUGUGCCCAGAUGGGAUUAGCUUGUUGGUGGGGUAACGGCUCACCAAGGCGACGAUCCCUAGCUGGUCUGAGAGGAUGACCAGCCACACUGGAACUGAGACACGGUCCAGACUCCUACGGGAGGCAGCAGUGGGGAAUAUUGCACAAUGGGCGCAAGCCUGAUGCAGCCAUGCCGCGUGUAUGAAGAAGGCCUUCGGGUUGUAAAGUACUUUCAGCGGGGAGGAAGGUGUUGUGGUUAAUAACCGCAGCAAUUGACGUUACCCGCAGAAGAAGCACCGGCUAACUCCGUGCCAGCAGCCGCGGUAAUACGGAGGGUGCAAGCGUUAAUCGGAAUUACUGGGCGUAAAGCGCACGCAGGCGGUCUGUUAAGUCAGAUGUGAAAUCCCCGGGCUCAACCUGGGAACUGCAUCUGAUACUGGCAGGCUUGAGUCUCGUAGAGGGGGGUAGAAUUCCAGGUGUAGCGGUGAAAUGCGUAGAGAUCUGGAGGAAUACCGGUGGCGAAGGCGGCCCCCUGGACGAAGACUGACGCUCAGGUGCGAAAGCGUGGGGAGCAAACAGGAUUAGAUACCCUGGUAGUCCACGCCGUAAACGAUGUCGACUUGGAGGUUGUGCCCUUGAGGCGUGGCUUCCGGAGCUAACGCGUUAAGUCGACCGCCUGGGGAGUACGGCCGCAAGGUUAAAACUCAAAUGAAUUGACGGGGGCCCGCACAAGCGGUGGAGCAUGUGGUUUAAUUCGAUGCAACGCGAAGAACCUUACCUGGUCUUGACAUCCACGGAAGUUUUCAGAGAUGAGAAUGUGCCUUCGGGAACCGUGAGACAGGUGCUGCAUGGCUGUCGUCAGCUCGUGUUGUGAAAUGUUGGGUUAAGUCCCGCAACGAGCGCAACCCUUAUCCUUUGUUGCCAGCGGUUAGGCCGGGAACUCAAAGGAGACUGCCAGUGAUAAACUGGAGGAAGGUGGGGAUGACGUCAAGUCAUCAUGGCCCUUACGACCAGGGCUACACACGUGCUACAAUGGCAUAUACAAAGAGAAGCGACCUCGCGAGAGCAAGCGGACCUCAUAAAGUAUGUCGUAGUCCGGAUUGGAGUCUGCAACUCGACUCCAUGAAGUCGGAAUCGCUAGUAAUCGUGGAUCAGAAUGCCACGGUGAAUACGUUCCCGGGCCUUGUACACACCGCCCGUCACACCAUGGGAGUGGGUUGCAAAAGAAGUAGGUAGCUUAACCUUCGGGAGGGCGCUUACCACUUUGUGAUUCAUGACUGGGGUGAAGUCGUAACAAGGUAACCGUAGGGGAACCUGCGGUUGGAUCACCUCCUUACCUUAAAGAA
rnacentral:rRNA from 1 species